UGGCACUUCCCCUCCGCAGCACUUGCCGAGUUUGAUAGGCACUGCAGACUGGAAGUGCCAUUCUUUCUUGGCUUGAAGGGGUUGGGGGAAGUUCCCCCAACCCCUUAAAGCCAAGAAAGAACACU